GCGGGCGUAGCAAUACGUCAGCGGCAGACGGGUGAGUAACGCGUGGGAACGUACCUUUUGGUUCGGAACAACACAGGGAAACUUGUGCUAAUACCGAAUAAGCCCUUACGGGGAAAGAUUUAUCGCCGAAAGAUCGGCCCGCGUCUGAUUAGCUAGUUGGUGGGGUAACGGCUCACCAAGGCGACGAUCAGUAGCUGGUCUGAGAGGAUGAUCAGCCACAUUGGGACUGAGACACGGCCCAAACUCCUACGGGAGGCAGCAGUGGGGAAUAUUGGACAAUGGGCGCAAGCCUGAUCCAGCCAUGCCGCGUGAGUGAUGAAGGCCCUAGGG
rnacentral:rRNA from 1 species